rnacentral:rRNA from 1 species
AUGAUUCCGCUGUGCGCAUCCUCCUCCCCGUCCACACCCGCUAUAAUAGCGCCACGCCCUCGUCGCCUUCGUCACCGCACCACCACUCCCUCCCUACCUCACUCCCGAUCCCCCCACCGCCACCUCCUCCUCGCCUCGCCCUCCUCGCCCGCUCCGACCCCACGCCCCCUCGCGCGCGCGCAGCGGCUCGCCGCCGCGGCCACGGCAGCGGAGAUGGUGUUCUCCGUGACGAAGAAGGAGACCAAGCCCUACGAGGGCCAGAAGCCCGGCACCUCCGGCCUCCGCAAGAAGGUUACAGUAUUCCAGCAGCCUCAUUACCUCGCGAAUUUCGUUCAAGCAACAUUUAAUGCCCUUCCAGCUGACCAAGUAAAAGGUGCCACCAUUGUUGUCUCCGGCGAUGGGCGCUAUUUCUCAAAGGAUGCUGUUCAGAUCAUUGCAAAAAUGGCUGCUGCUAAUGGAGUAAGACGUGUCUGGGUUGGACAAGACAGUCUCUUGUCAACUCCAGCUGUAUCUGCUAUCAUCCGUGAAAGAAUUUCUGCAGAUGGCGCAAAGGCUACUGGUGCCUUCAUUUUAACAGCCAGCCACAACCCAGGUGGUCCAACUGAGGACUUUGGAAUCAAAUACAACAUGGGGAAUGGUGGACCCGCCCCUGAGUCUGUUACCGAUAAGAUCUUCUCUAAUACAAAGACAAUUACUGAAUACCUCAUUGCGGAGGACCUUCCAAAUGUUGAUAUUUCUGUGACAGGUGUCACUUCCUUCACUGGACCUGAAGGACCUUUUGAUGUCGAUGUCUUUGACUCUGCUACAGAUUACAUCAAGCUAAUGAAGACAAUCUUUGACUUUGAGUCUAUUAAAAAGCUUCUGGCAUCUCCAAAGUUCUCGUUCUGUUUUGAUGGCCUUCACGGUGUUGCUGGAGCUUAUGCAAAGCGCAUGUUUGUGGAUGAGCUCGGCGCCAGUGAAAGCUCACUGUUGAACUGUGUUCCAAAGGAAGACUUUGGAGGUGGUCAUCCUGACCCUAACCUCACCUAUGCAAAAGAACUGGUUGAGCGGAUGGGUCUUGGGAAAACCUCAAACGCUGACCCCCCUGAAUUUGGUGCGGCAGCUGAUGGAGAUGCUGACCGUAACAUGGUUCUGGGUAAACGAUUCUUUGUGACACCAUCAGAUUCGGUUGCCAUUAUCGCAGCCAAUGCUGUCCAAUCAAUUCCUUACUUCGCUUCUGGCCUGAAGGGAGUUGCCAGGAGCAUGCCAACAUCAGCUGCACUUGAUGUAGUUGCAAAGAAUCUAAAUCUCAAGUUCUUUGAGGUGCCUACUGGGUGGAAAUUUUUUGGAAACCUGAUGGAUGCUGGAAUGUGCUCAGUUUGUGGUGAAGAAAGCUUUGGCACGGGUUCUGACCACAUCCGUGAAAAGGAUGGUAUUUGGGCUGUUCUAGCUUGGCUAUCUAUUCUAGCUUACAAGAACAAGGACAACCUUGGAGGAGAUAAGCUUGUUACGGUUGAAGACAUUGUUCUUCAGCACUGGGCUACUUAUGGUCGCCAUUAUUAUACACGAUAUGACUAUGAGAAUGUUGAUGCAGAAGCUGCCAAGGAACUUAUGGCUAACCUAGUAAAGAUGCAGUCGUCCCUGUCUGACGUUAACAAGUCGAUCAAGGAGAUCCAGCCUACUGUUGCAGAUGUGGUUUCGGCUGAUGAGUUUGAGUACAAGGACCCUGUUGAUGGUUCUGUCUCCAAGCAUCAGGGUAUCCGGUAUCUCUUUGGAGAUGGUUCCCGACUGGUGUUCCGCCUUUCUGGAACUGGUUCAGUUGGUGCUACUAUCCGUAUUUACAUUGAGCAGUAUGAGAAGGAUUCUUCCAAAACCGGGAGGGAGUCGAGCGAUGCUCUUUCUCCACUGGUUGACGUGGCCCUGAAGCUUUCGAAGAUCCAGGAGUACACCGGCCGAUCUGCCCCCACGGUGAUCACAUAA